GGGUGGCUCAGUUGGUCGAGCACCUGACUUUGGCUCAGGUCAUGAUCUCAGGAUUCAAGUCAUGAUCUCGAGGUAUGUGAGUUCAAGUCCCACACCUG
rnacentral:tRNA from 1 species